UACGGGGGGGGCAAGCGUUGUUCGGAAUUACUGGGCGUAAAGGGCUCGCAGGCGGCCAACUAAGUCGGACGUGAAAUCCCUCGGCUUAACCGGGGAACUGCGUCCGAUACUGGAUGGCUUGAGUUCGGGAGAGGGAUGCGGAAUUCCAGGUGUAGCGGUGAAAUGCGUAGAUAUCUGGAGGAACACCGGUGGCGAAGGCGGCAUCCUGGACCGACACUGACGCUGAGGAGCGAAAGCCAGGGGAGCAAACGGG
rnacentral:rRNA from 1 species